AUGAUCAUGAUGCCCUCAUGUCCGUAUUUUAUUUUUAUCGACACCUCUAUCUCUAAACAUGUGGACAUAUUUUUCGAUUUCGGCUUUUCGCUUGAGGACAAGCGAGGUCUAAGCUUGGGGGAGUUGAUACGUCCAUUUUGCAUCAUGCUUUUAUAUCAAUAUUUAUUGCAUUAUGGGCUGUUAUUACACAUUAUGUCACAAUACUUAUGCCUAUUCUCUCUUAUUUUACAAAGUUUACAUGAAGAGGGAGAAUGCUGGCAGCUGGGAUUCUGGGCUGGAAAAGGAGAAAAUAUUAGAGACCUAUUCUACACAGCUCCAAAAGUCCUGAAACUUCACAGAAGACGUUUUCAGAACAUAUAA
rnacentral:rRNA from 1 species